AUACGGAGGGUGCAAGCGUUAUUCGGAAUCACUGGGCGUAAAGGACGCGUAGGCGGGUUGGCAAGUCAGAUGUGAAAUCCUACAGCUUAACUGUAGAACUGCAUUUGAAACUGCUAACCUAGAGUAGGGGAGGGGGAGAUGGAAUUAGUGGUGUAGGGGUAAAAUCCGUAGAUAUCACUAGGAAUACCGAAAGCGAAGGCGAUCUCCUGGAACAUAACUGACGCUAAGGCGUGAAAGCGUGGGGAGCAAACAGGAUUAGAAACCCUUGUAGUCC
rnacentral:rRNA from 1 species